rnacentral:rRNA from 1 species
CAAUAGCGUAUAUUAAAGUUGUUGCGGUUAAAAAGCUCGUAGUUGGAUUUCUGCUUGGGACAACCGGUCCGCCCUCUGGGUGAGUAUCUGGUUUGGCCCGGGCAUCUUCUUGGGGAACGUUACUGCACUUGACUGUGUGGUGCGGAGCCCAGGACCUUUACUUUGAGGAAAUUAGAGUGUUUCAAGCAGGCAUUUGCCUUGAAUACAUUAGCAUGGAAUAAUAAGAUAGGACCUCGUCCCUACCUUGUUGGUUCGUAUGGAUGAGGUAAUGAUUAAUAGGGAUAGUUGGGGGCAUUUUUAUUCCAUUGUCAGAGGUGAAAUUCUUGGAUUAACGGAAGAAAAACUACUGCGAAAGCAUCUGCCAAGGAUGUUUUCAUUGAUCAAGAACGAAAGUUAGGGGAUCGAAGACGAUUAGAUACCAU